CCGAGCUCCUACAAUAAGCGAUCUCCAUCUGGGCUUCUACAGUAAGCAAAUUCCGUCCGAACUUCAUUGUAAGUGGACUUCAGUCGAGCUUCUAUAAUAAGCAGACUCCAUCCGAGCUUCCACGACAACCGGUCUCCAUCCGAGUUUCUACAAUAAGUGGUCUCCAUUCGGGCUUCCACGGCAACCGGUCUCCAUCCGAGCUUCUACAAUAAGCGG
rnacentral:lncRNA from 1 species